GUGCCUACGGGGCGCAGCAGUAGGGAAUCUUCCACAAUGGACGAAAGUCUGAUGGAGCAACGCCGCGUGAGUGAAGAAGGGUUUCGGCUCGUAAACCUCUUUUGUCGGGGAGCAAGACCCGCCUCGUGCAGGCGGAGCGAGAGUACCCGAAGAAAAAGCAUCGGCUAACUCCGUGCCAGCAGCCGCGGUAAUACGGAGGAUGCGAGCGUUAUCCGGAUUUAUUGGGUUUAAAGGGUGCGCAGGCGGACCAUCAAGUCAGCGGUAAAAUCGUGGGGCCCGACCCCAUCCCGCCGUUGAAACUGGCG
rnacentral:rRNA from 1 species